CACCUAAGUUAAAGUAGGUGAAGUGGGAAAGCAGCAUGUCUGAGGAUAUAUAUGCCAAGCCAGACUUCACCAAAAAGGUUAGAUUUCAGACAGGUGUGAAGGAGGACAAAAACGCAGACGUCUGUGUUGACAUUGAUAAUGUGAGGAUUUAUGACAAUUACUGGGCAGAGGAGAGUACGCCACAGGACAAAUCACAGGACAACAGGACUGAGGACCAACAGCAAACCGAUUCAGUCAAUGUGAGUUCAGAGAAGAGGAAUUAUCUCAGAGUUGCUGCAUCGCUUCUGGGGCUGCUGUGUCUUCUGCUCCUGGUGGCUGUCAUUGUCCUGGUGGUCCUAUGCAAGUUUUCGAAAUGAAAAGCCUCAACCACAACCUGACCCAAAAGACGGGCCAGUUAGAAAAGGAGAAAGACAAUUUUAAUGCCAGGAACAAGAACCUCAUGAGAGAGAGAGAUGAAUUACAAAAACAGAUUGGUACUGGAAAAGCAGACAGCCGGGUGAUGGUGGUCCUCGUGGUAAUAGAGAAGAAUAUGCUCACAUUUCCAACAUAAAUACUUUAAAUAACUGGAAUUAUUUGAGAUGCAGUGAUGAAUUAUACUUUAUCUGUGAGAAUAAAAAACUUCAAUAAAGUCUGAUUAUUAUAUGCUCUUGGACUGAUUCCACAGCUGUUCUGCUCUCACACAUUUUAUGUAAACUAAGUCCUGAGUUCAUAUCAGUAAUAUUAUAUCCAUUGAUUUUGUGUCUGUGAUGUAGUAACAAAAAACCUCCAAAUAAAUACAUUUGAAUGACCUUAUUAAUUGUAUGACUGAGUGAUUUACAUAUCAUAAUAUGGCUAUCGAGAUU